rnacentral:rRNA from 1 species
GAUGAACGCUGGCGGCGUGCCUAAUACAUGCAAGUCGAGCGAACAGACGAGGAGCUUGCUCCUUUGACGUUAGCGGCGGACGGGUGAGUAACACGUAGGUAACCUACCUAUAAGACUGGGAUAACUUCGGGAAACCGGAGCUAAUCCCGGAUAAUAUUUCGAACCGCAUGGUUCGAUAGUGAAAGAUGGCUUUGCUAUCACUUAUAGAUGGACCUGCGCCGUAUUAGCUAGUUGGUAAGGUAACGGCUUACCAAGGCAACGAUACGUAGCCGACCUGAGAGGGUGAUCGGCCACACUGGAACUGAGACACGGUCCAGACUCCUACGGGAGGCAGCAGUAGGGAAUCUUCCGCAAUGGGCGAAAGCCUGACGGAGCAACGCCGCGUGAGUGAUGAAGGUCUUCGGAUCGUAAAACUCUGUUAUUAGGGAAGAACAAACGUGUAAGUAACUGUGCACGUCUUGACGGUACCUAAUCAGAAAGCCACGGCUAACUACGUG